AGUUAGGUAUCUAAUGUCACAGUUAUCUUCAAACUAAAAGAUAAUUAAUCUUUCAAUUUAGCAUUAACUCUUUGUCUAGACAAACUCCUAUAAGUGUUACUUAUUUGUAAAGAGCACCCUAGAUUUUGUCCUCAGCUUUGAGAUAUAACUGCCAUGUAACACUGAACUGAUGAAACAAUUUAAAAAGAAAAUAGGUAUCACGCUAGGACGCUCAUCUGUAGGGUUAGCUCGCCAACAACAGAUUCUUCACGGCUGCUUCCAGAGCGAAAGCAAUGGCUUCCAGGAAGCAGUACGAGAUCUGUCAACCCCUCCUGGAGACCCCAAACAGGCGGCUCGCCACAAAGUACGAGUUUUUCCAAAGGGGCUGAAAGCGGAAUUAAAAGCAGCUUUCACAAAUGGGAAAGAAAUCCGUUUAAUGAAGUUCAAGUUACUUCGAGAUUAACUUGGUUUUCAAACUCUGGUGAAAAUCUUUCCAUCUUGUGAGAUUUCUUCGCCUCGCCGCCACCCCCAACUCCAGAGUAGCAGCACAAGGCUCCUUGUCUCUCCUGCGAGGCGGCGGCGGAAACCUGAUCCCAGCCUGGCUUUCUGUAAACACCGGCGCGCAGAGCCAUAAAGCAUCCGGAACGUGUGUCCCCGGCGCGCAGCCCGCUCCCGCCCGCUAAAUCUCGGAUCCGCGGCCGUACCCAAGAGGUGGCCGAGGCGGGGCAGGAGGACGGAACGCGGGCCCGUGUCGGAGACCGGCCGCCGCCACCGCCGCAGCGAAAAGCGCGCCGCGGGCGGAGCGAGGCGGCGGCGGCGGCAAUGGGGUGCAGCGGCAUCGCGGCGGCCGUAGGCAGCAGGCGGGGGAAGAGAGGUCGGGAGAGAAAAGACACAAAGACCGUACACGGGUGCUUUGGAUUUUCUUAUCAAUAGAGGGCGUCCUCGAGUCACUGCAAAUCCUGGUGUGAAAUGGAACUGUUCUUUAAAGGAAGGAAAGAUGAGACCAGAGCAAUGCAGUGAGGGGACCCAGCAAAGCAU